ensembl:ncRNA Y57G11C.1136 ncRNA
AGCACUGUGGAGACGCAGACAAACAAAUCCAGGUUGAACCGGUUUCCCCUGUGUGUGUGUGUGUUGAAAUGGAAUGUCUUCAUUCAUAUCACUUUGAAUUGCCAAUUCAUCUCUCUUUUUGG